rnacentral:rRNA from 1 species
AGAGUUUGAUCAUGGCUCAGAUUGAACGCUGGCGGCAUGCUUUACACAUGCAAGUCGAACGGCAGCGCGGGGCAACCUGGCGGCGAGUGGCGAACGGGUGAGUAAUAUAUCGGAACGUACCCAAGAGUGGGGGAUAACGUAGCGAAAGUUACGCUAAUACCGCAUACGAUCUAAGGAUGAAAGCAGGGGAUCUUCGGACCUUGUGCUCCUGGAGCGGCCGAUAUCUGAUUAGCUAGUUGGUGAGGUAAAGGCUCACCAAGGCCACGAUCAGUAGCUGGUCUGAGAGGACGACCAGCCACACUGGAACUGAGACACGGUCCAGACUCCUACGGGAGGCAGCAGUGGGGAAUUUUGGACAAUGGGCGAAAGCCUGAUCCAGCAAUGCCGCGUGAGUGAAGAAGGCCUUCGGGUUGUAAAGCUCUUUUGUCAGGGAAGAAACGGUGAGGGCUAAUAUCCCUCGCUAAUGACGGUACCUGAAGAAUAAGCACCGGCUAACUACGUGCCAGCAGCCGCGGUAAUACGUAGGGUGCAAGCGUUAAUCGGAAUUACUGGGCGUAAAGCGUGCGCAGGCGGUUUUGUAAGUCUGACGUGAAAUCCCCGGGCUCAACCUGGGAAUUGCGUUGGAGACUGCAAGGCUAGAAUCUGGCAGAGGGGGGUAGAAUUCCACGUGUAGCAGUGAAAUGCGUAGAGAUGUGGAGGAACACCGAUGGCGAAGGCAGCCCCCUGGGUCAAGAUUGACGCUCAUGCACGAAAGCGUGGGGAGCAAACAGGAUUAGAUACCCCGGUAGUCC